rnacentral:rRNA from 1 species
UACAGAGGUCUCAAGCGUUGUUCGGAUUCAUUGGGCGUAAAGGGUGCGUAGGUGGCGGGGUAAGUCAGGUGUGAAAUUUCGGAGCUUAACUCCGAAACUGCAUUCGAUACUGCCGUGCUUGAGGACUGGAGAGGAGACUGGAAUUUACGGUGUAGCGGUGAAAUGCGCAGAUAUCAGGAGGAACACCGGUGGCGAAGGCGGGUCUCUGGGCAGUAACUGACGCUGAGGAGCGAAAGCGUGGGUAGCAAACAGG